GUGUUGGUGGUUUAGUGGUAGAGUCCUCACCUUCUAUGUGGGAGACCCGAGCUCAAGUCCCAGCCGAUGCA
rnacentral:tRNA from 1 species